rnacentral:rRNA from 1 species
AGAGUUUGAUCCUGGCUCAGGACGAACGCUGGCGGCGUGCCUAACACAUGCAAGUCGAACGAAACUUUUUGCUUCGGUAGAAAGUUUAGUGGCGGACGGGUGAGUAACGCGUGAGGAACCUGCCUUUCAGAGGGGGAUAAUGUCUGGAAACGGACACUAAUACCGCAUGACAUUUUCUGUUCACAUGGACAGAAAAUCAAAGGAGCAAUCUGCUGAAAGAUGGACUCGCGUCCGAUUAGCUAGAUGGUGAGAUAAUAGCCCACCAUGGCGACGAUCGGUAGCCGGACUGAGAGGUUGAACGGCCACAUUGGGACUGAGACACGGCCCAGACUCCUACGGGAGGCAGCAGUGGGGGAUAUUGCACAAUGGAGGAAACUCUGAUGCAGCAACGCCGCGUGAAGGAAGACGGUCUUCGGAUUGUAAACUUUUGUACCUAGGGACGAUAAUGACGGUACCUAGGCAGCAAGCUCCGGCUAACUACGUGCCAGCAGCCGCGGUAAUACGUAGGGAGCGAGCGUUGUCCGGAUUUACUGGGUGUAAAGGGUGCGUAGGCGGCCAAGCAAGUCAGCUGUGAAAACUAUGGGCUUAACCCAUAGCCUGCAAUUGAAACUGUUUGGCUUGAGUGAAGUAGAGGUAGGUGGAAUUCCCGGUGUAGCGGUGAAAUGCGUAGAGAUCGGGAGGAACACCAGUGGCGAAGGCGACCUACUGGGCUUUAACUGACGCUGAAGCACGAAAGCAUGGGUAGCAAACAGGAUUAGAUACCCUGGUAGUCCAUGCUGUAAACGAUGAUUACUAGGUGUGGGGGGUCUGACCCCUUCCGUGCCGGAGUUAACACAAUAAGUAAUCCACCUGGGGAGUACGACCGCAAGGUUGAAACUCAAAGGAAUUGACGGGGGCCCGCACAAGCAGUGGAGUAUGUGGUUUAAUUCGAAGCAACGCGAAGAACCUUACCAGGUCUUGACAUCCACUAACGAAGCAGAGAUGCAUUAGUGCCCUUCGGGGAAAGUGAGACAGUGUGCAUGCUGUCGUCAGCUCGUGUCGUGAGAUGUUGGUAGUCCCGCACGAGCGCACCCUACUGUAGUGCUACGCAGAGCACUCUAGCAGACUGCGGUGACAAUCGAGAGGUGGACGACGUCAUCAUCAUGCCCUUAUGACUGGCUACCACGUUAUCACAUGGCCGUUUACUCGAAGAAAC